GUAAACCGUCAGUGUGUUUCCAUAGACCAGGUUUUGACUCCCAGUAUCAGGAAUUCUACCUCAUAUAAUUGUGCAGUUGAGCUGUUGCACUCCACGUAAGACUUCAGCCAAGAAGACAACAGGGUAGCUGGAAGGCCAGACUUCUCUCAGCCAUCCUGGAGUCAACUUAAGAUGCAGACACCUUUUUCUAAUUGGCAUUGUCAGUGGGGGGCACUUUUUUCAAAUCUGUCCCCUUGGGGAAAGCUAUUUCUCUCAUAUGCAUCAAAGCACUGUAUAUGCCUGUUGGCCCUACCUAUAUGUAUCUCAGGAUUAAAUAAAUAAAUAAAUAAAUA
rnacentral:lncRNA from 10 species